rnacentral:rRNA from 1 species
UACGGAGGGGGCGAGCGUUAUUCGGAAUCAUUGGGCGUAAAGGGCGCGUAGGCGGCCCCGUAAGUCUUGGGUGAAAGCCCUCGGCUCAACCGAGGAAUUGCCUUGGAUACUGCGGGGCUCGAGGCUGGAAGAGGGCAGUGGAAUUCCCGGUGUAGCGGUGAAAUGCGCAGAUAUCGGGAGGAACACCAAUGGCGAAGGCAGCUCGCUGGGACGUUACUGACGCUGAGACGCGAAAGCGUGGGGAGCAAACAGG